UUAACCAACCAUUUUGUUUAGUACAUUGUCACCUGCCAGAGGAGUGAAAUGGCCUGAUUUUUCUAAAUUUUUUUUGAGCCGGAAGAUCUAAAUCGGGUCAGGAUACUGCUAAGAAUGUGCCAUGUGUGUGCGAGAGACCUAGGGCAUUCCUCAGGUGGGCCUGCCAUGUAUGUGCCAAAGCCCAAAUUUCAGGUAUGUAUGGUCAUCAGAUGGGCCAUGUGUACAAAGAAAGGAUGAUUAGGAGAAUUGAUCAGUGGUCCACACUCGAUGACUGGAUUGGUCUGAUUUUCAGGUGAUAGAAGAUAUGGUAGGUCCAGCACCUCUUGAGGAAUCACUUGGAUCUGUCACCCAUGGUACAUUUUAGGAAGUUGGAUCGAGAUCCUACUUUCAUGGGAUGCCAUAGGAGCACUUAAAAGCAUUGCACUUAAUGGAGACAGUUUCUAAAUAAUUAUGUUUGUUCUAGGGCUGAUGAAUGGAAUGCCAACAAAUGGGCAUGGGAAGGGGCAUUAAAAGUAAUCAGCAGAGGAGAGGAGGGCAUUAUCAAGCUUGAAGAUAAGACCACAGGAGAGCUUUAUGCUCAAGCAUUUCUGAGAAACGGGGAGCCACAUCCGGUGGAGCCUGUGAUUGACAGCAGCAGGUUUGGUUCCGUUUGUUAUUGGAACUAGGGUUAGUCUAUGAUAUCUCAAUACUCAAUCAGACGGGAAAAUUACAGUUUCCUCAAUUAUGUGUUUGCCUUAAGUUCAAAUUACUGAUAUUGUAAUAGGGUAUGAGUUUUCAUCUCUGGUUACUCUGAUGCUGCUUUUUUAUUUGGUUCCAAUCCACCUCAGGUUGGUUUGUCAUUUGCAAAUGGCAUACGUGUUUGUUGAUUGAAA